AAGAGUAUGCAAGAAAAACUACUGUUUCACUUGCAAAGGCUCUGUCGUCGGAUCAUUUAAAGAAAAAAUUAAAAUUAAAAUUAAAAUAAAAAGGAAGAAAAGAAUGAUUGUUUUUGCCCUCCUAAAAGAAAGAAUUGACUGACCUUGCUGCUUAGGACUUUUCUUUUCUAAAGUCUAAAGAGACACGUGCGGGUCAGGAAGCGGGUCGACGCUCAGGUCGGGUCGGGUCUCGACAAAACGUGCAGAUCUUC
rnacentral:lncRNA from 1 species